UAUUGCACAAUGGUCGCAAGCCUGAUGCAGCAACGCCGCGUGAGGGACGAAUGCCUUCGGGUUGUAAACCUCUUUUAGUAGGGAAGAAGCGCAAGUGACGGUACCUGCAGCAAAAGCACCGGCUAACUACGUUCCAGCAGCCGCGGUAAUACGUAGGGUGCAAGCGUUGUCCGGAAUUAUUGGGCGUAAAGAGCUCGUAGGCGGUUUGUCACGUCUGCUGUGAAAACUGGAGGCGCAACCUCCAGCCUGCAGUGGGUACGGGCAGACUAGAGUGCGGUAGGGGAGAUUGGAAGUCCUGGUGUAGCGGUGGAAUGCGCAGAUAUCAGGAGGAACACCGAUGGCGAAGGCAGAUCUCUGGGCCGUAACUGACGCUGAGGAGCGAAAGCAUGGGGAGCGAA
rnacentral:rRNA from 1 species